rnacentral:rRNA from 1 species
AGACCCGAAACCCGGUGAUCUAGCCAUGGGCAGGUUGAAGGUUGGGUAACACUAACUGGAGGACCGAACCGACUAAUGUUGAAAAAUUAGCGGAUGACCUGUGGCUGGGGGUGAAAGGCCAAUCAAACCGGGAGAUAGCUGGUUCUCCCCGAAAGCUAUUUAGGUAGCGCCUCGUGAAUUCAUCUCCGGGGGUAGAGCACUGUUUCGGCUAGGGGGUCAUCCCGACUUACCAACCCGAUGCAAACUGCGAAUACCGGAGAAUGUUAUCACGGGAGACACACGGCGGGUGCUAACGUCCGUCGUGAAGAGGGAAACAACCCAGACCGCCAGCUAAGGUCCCAAAGUCAUGGUUAAGUGGGAAACGAUGUGGGAAGGCCCAGACAGCCAGGAUGUUGGCUUAGAAGCAGCCAUCAUUUAAAGAAAGCGUAAUAGCUCACUGGUCGAGUCGGCCUGCGCGGAAGAUGUAACGGGGCUAAACCAUGCACCGAAGCUGCGGCAGCGACGCUUAUGCGUUGUUGGGUA